ensembl:lncRNA
GUCAACAGUUCUCAUGCCUCUCUAAAUCCAGACUGGCUCAGAACUCCCUUCUUCCAGUUGUCUGCAUAUUCUUUGAUUUUUCCACCAUCCCUGACUUAGGUUUUUCAUUGCUUUGUAGAGGUUCCAUUUCCAUGUAAUUGGUUUUCCUGAGCUGCAGAGUCCUGCAAGGCUGAACUCAUCCCACCCCUGUGAUGUGAGGUACCGGGUAUCCACAUUGUCUAUCAUGAUCUCUUUCAGCCAUGUAUGUAUGUGUUUUGUAACAGGGUCUUACAUAGCCCAGGCUGGCUUGCAGCUCAUUAUAUAGUCCAGGCUGGCUUGGAGCUCAUGAUACAGUCCAGGCUGGCCUCAAGAUCAUGAUCCUCCUGCCUCUGCUGGGGUUGCAGGCAUGUGUCACUAACCCAGUAGAUACAAUUUCCAUCCUCCCCUCUCCUUGUCUAAGCCACUGUUCUUAUUUCCCUCCGUUUAUUUAUGGGUCUUUAACCUUUCUCAGUGUCAAAUAAAUGCAAGAUGUCUUCAGAAGUUGUCCAUGUGGGGCUUUUCUGGUACUAUCCACCCUUCACAGUGGCUCUUAGCCCUCCAGCUACAAGGUGUGAUGGAGUACAGCGUGCUGCCUUCUGUUCUUCCAUAGAGAUGCACUCUUCCGUGAACACCAUCCAUCAUCACUGCCCCCUUGGCUCUGCCUCAUGACGACCUGAAGCAGGGUUAACAGCACCACACCUGUGCUCUGCUGGUCUCUGGCUGUGCUCCCUGCUCUGCAAUCAGCCCUAGCAUUAUUUACCUGAAGCAAGGAUGUCUGGGUUAUUCAUGAGACCUAUGGCAUUUUCCUAGGAAACUGGUUAGCUUUUUUCCUCUCUCUCUUUCCCCCAUUCACAUUUCUCAGACAUUGUCUAAUGGGUAACCCACAGUUUAUAUUAUCACCAUUCCUGACCAAGGGCUUACUUACAUGGUUAGAACAGUUACUGGCGUGGGAGGAUGUGGGUCUGUAAUUUUGUUUUCUUCUCUUGCCUUGGCAGAGUGCAUCUACUCCAGCUGUGUUCGGUGGGUCAUUUAUGUAUAACACGUGUUGACAACUCCUGAAACCUCUGUCUGGCACCACUGCUGUGGUGCCUAAGCCUGAACUAAACAGUCAGCACAGGGCAGGGCUCAGCAUGAACAACCAGCCACACUGCCGAGCCUCUUUGUUGUUCCCUGCACCUGCCAAAUGACAUUAUUCCUGGCAGAUGUGUUGACAAUGGGCGCCAGAUAGGGCUGGAGAGAUGGCUCAGUGGUUGGGAGCACUGACUGUUCUUCUAGAGGACCUGGGUUUAAUUCCCAGCACCCAGGUGGCAGCUCACAACUGUCUGUAACUUCAGUUUCAAUGGAUCUGACACCCUCACACAAUGCAAAACACCAGUGCUCGUAAAAUAAAUAAGACAGUGGGUAACCAGAGAAAACAGGUAAAGAUUCCCAGAGAAAAUAGUUUCCCUGGUGAUAAUAAAGGCAACCUAAAGAAAACCAUUAGUGUAGGCUCUUGGUCUGCAAACUGGACUGUACACAGUGAUGUGCUGAGCUGAGUGUGGUGGCAUAUGGCUAAAACCUGAGAUCUCAGGAGGCUUGGGCAGGAGGAUGGUCACAAGUCUGAGUUUAACUUACUCUAUACAAUUUCCAAGCUAGCUAGGGCUAGAUAAUAAAACCUGUCUCAAAAAUAAAUAAAACAAAAAACAAAGAGAUAUAGAUGAUAGACAGACAGACAGAUGGAUGGCAGACAGACGAUAGAUGGAUGAUGAAUAGAUAAUAGAUGAUUGUUACAUGGAUAAUAAAUUAUUGAUUGAUUAUAGAUAGAUGUUUUAUAUAUUUGGCUAUAGGAAGAAGGAAGUAGAACUUCUAUUCAUAACUUUUUUUUUAUCUUACCCUUUAAAUAUCUCUUGUUUGACAUUGACAAAAUCAAAGCCAAAAAGGCUACAGAACACUUCAGUCCUCUCUUGAGCCUCAGAGAUCUCCUUAUGGGAGGAAGCUUGCCCCACAGUCAUCAUCUUGGGACCCAAACUCACCAGAGGGGAAGUGUUCUGGCAUCUAACAACACCUUGCAUGGUUUGGUUUGAGAAAUACCAGAGACUUUGCUUCCUGACCUGCAUAUUCCAACAAUGGACUUAGCAAACAUUUUAACCACCUUCACGCACCUUGGGUUCUAACUGCUGAGCUUGCUAAGAAGAGCCCAAGCCCACACUCCCCAGUUAGGAUGUUGACUCAGGCUCACGGAUCCCAUUUCCAACCUGCACACUUUUUACACCAGGGGGAGGGGAGUCUUUGCCUUUAUUUUAAAUUCACUUAUGAUUUCUUGGCUUAGAAAAGAUUAGUAACACUAAUUAAUCCAAUGACCAGAUUUUACUUCAUUCUUGUGUGUGUGUGUGUGUGUGUGUGUGUGUGUGUUGUAUAAGCCAGAGGUCAACAUUGAGUUUCUUUGGUUCCUCCUUAGUUUUUGAGAACUGCUUUCUUAGUAAACCUAGAAUUAACCCUUUCUGCUAGGCUGACUGGUCAGUAAGUCCCCAGGAUCCUCUAGUCUUGUUCCCCCACUGCUAGGUUUCAGACUCAUGCAACUGUGCUGGGCUUUUAUGGCUUGGAAAUAAAUGCACAUUGGAGACAGUGUGCUCAGGAAAUCUGUUCUGCAAUAAGAAUAUGUGACUGCAAAAGUUCAAAUCAAGUUGUUGAGACCUUUCCUGGGUCUGUCUUCUGUUACCAGGGUACAAAGCAUCUUGAGUCCUUAAGAGGAGAAUAAUGUCUUCUCUGUGGCAGACAUUGUUCCAGGCCUUCCUUUCAGCCUCAUGAUAACAUUACGGGUUAGAUAAGCAGGCAUGAUGUCACACACCUAUAAUCUCAGCACUUAGGAGUUAGAAGGAUCGGGAGUUCCGGGUCAGCCUCAUCAAUGUAGCAAGUUGGAAGCCAGCCUGCUUUACACAAGACUGUCUUCAAACAACAACAAAAGAGUGAAGAACCAAGGCAAAAAACUGUCUCCUGUAGAUACCUGGGAUCCUGUUAAUCUGGUCCAGACCAGCUAGUGUGUGAUCAGACCAGGAACCUGGCCAUCUGAUCCCAAGGUGUGGUGCACUUGGCCAUCAGCUUAUUGUUGGAUCACAGCUUUGUUUAUGAAGAAAGCAGAGUCUUGAGUAAGUUAAGGAACUCCUCCAAGCAGAAGCAGCAAGUCAUGGCAGAAAAGACCAGAUGGCAGUGGUGGGGGUGGGCCUAGUUCAUCCCAGCCCAAGUAUUCCCUUUUCCCUUUCAGGGGUGUGAACUGUCUCUUUAACACCUGCAGGUGUCCCAGGCCUGAUUCACACCUCCCUGGGGUCAUUUCCUAGAGUCAAGAACCCCAGAGAGGUCCCCCCGUGGUGAUACUUUCCUUUACUUAAGUAAAUGAAAGAGAACAAAAGAAACCGCUCUUUUUUAUUGGUUUGUGCUGAGCAAAUACAGGCUGAUUUUUAUAAGCUCUCCAAGUCCUACCUUACCUCUGCUCAAAAGCCUCUGUCAGCUUUACUUUUGACGUGCUGGAACCACGGCCCAGGCUGGAAUGACCAACGCUUAGAUGUCACCAGAGAAUCCAAGUCAAAGCAUCGCCCAAGCACCACACUCCUAAAAAUAAGCAGGCGUGAGCAGGGGCUAUUUCAAGAAUCUCCCACAAGUUUCCGGGGUUCAGAAACUAAACAAAUUCUUUUUCUAAAAGAAGCACUAGUCAUCCAAGUGCUGUUCAGGACAGUGUCCAUAGUAGAUGAAGCCCUCUGCUCUCCAGGAGCUUGCCUACUAGAAGAGGACAGACUGACAUUAAACCAAGUAAACAAUCACGGUGUAAUCAUGUGCUAAUGAGGGAG